rnacentral:rRNA from 1 species
AGUAACACGUGGGGAACCUGCCCCAUAGUCUGGGAUACCACUUGGAAACAGGUGCUAAUACCGGAUAAGAAAGCGGAUCGCAUGAUCAGCUUUUAAAAGGCGGCGUAAGCUGUCGCUAUGGGAUGGCCCCGCGGUGCAUUAGCUAGUUGGUGGGGUAAAGGCCUACCAAGGCGACGAUGCAUAGCCGACCUGAGAGGGUGAUCGGCCACACUGGGACUGAGACACGGCCCAGACUCCUACGGGAGGCAGCAGGU